rnacentral:rRNA from 1 species
AUUGAACGCUGGCGGCAUGCCUUACACAUGCAAGUCGAACGGCAGCACGGGAGCAAUCCUGGUGGCGAGUGGCGAACGGGUGAGUAAUAUAUCGGAACGUGCCCAGUCGUGGGGAUAACGUAGCGAAAGCUACGCUAAUACCGCAUACGAUCUAUGGAUGAAAGCGGGGGAUCGCAAGACCUCGCGCGAUUGGAGCGGCCGAUAUCAGAUUAGGUAGUUGGUGAGGUAAAGGCUCACCAAGCCGACGAUCUGUAGCUGGUCUGAGAGGACGACCAGCCACACUGGGACUGAGACACGGCCCAGACUCCUACGGGAGGCAGCAGUGGGGAAUAUUGGACAAUGGGCGAAAGCCUGAUCCAGCAAUGCCGCGUGAGUGAUGAAGGCCUCGGUGUAA